rnacentral:rRNA from 1 species
GCAAAUUACCCAAUCCCGACACGGGGAGGUAGUGACAAUAAAUACUGAUACAGGGCUCUUUUGGGUCUUGUAAUUGGAAUGAGUACAAUUUAAACCUCUUAACGAGGAACAAUUGGAGGGCAAGUCUGGUGCCAGCAGCCGCGGUAAUUCCAGCUCCAAUAGCGUAUAUUAAAGUUGUUGCAGUUAAAAAGCUCGUAGUUGAACCUUUGGCCUGGCUGGCAGGUCCGCCUCACCGCGUGCACUUGUCCGGCCGGGCCUUCUCUUCUGGAGAACCGCAUGCCCUUCACUGGGUGUGUUGGGGACCAGGACUUUUACUUUGAAAAAAUUAGAGUGUUCAAAGCAGGCCUUUGCUCGAAUACGUUAGCAUGGAAUAAUAGAAUAGGACGUGCGGUCCUAUUUUGUUGGUUUCUAGGACCGCCGUAAUGAUUAAUAGGGACAGUCGGGGGCAUCAGUAUUCAAUUGUCAGAGGUGAAAUUCUUGGAUUUAUUGAAGACUAACUACUGCGAAAGCAUUUGCCAAGGAUGUUUUCAUUAAUCAGUGAACGAAAGUUAGGGGAUCGAAGACGAUCAGAUACCGUCGUAGUCUUAACCAUAAACUAUGCCGACUAGGGAUCGGGCGGUGUUUUUCUAUUGACCCGCUCGGC